rnacentral:rRNA from 1 species
GUGAACGCUGGCGGUAGGCCUAACACAUGCAAGUCGAACGGCAGCACAGUAAGAGCUUGCUCUUACGGGUGGCGAGUGGCGGACGGGUGAGGAAUACAUCGGAAUCUACUUUUUCGUGGGGGAUAACGCAGGGAAACUUACGCUAAUACCGCAUACGACCUACGGGUGAAAGCAGGGGAUCUUCGGACCUUGCGCGAUUGAAUGAGCCGAUGUCGGAUUAGCUAGUUGGCGGGGUAAAGGCCCACCAAGGCGACGAUCCGUAGCUGGUCUGAGAGGAUGAUCAGCCACACUGGAACUGAGACACGGUCCAGACUCCUACGGGAGGCAGCAGUGGGGAAUAUUGGACAAAGGGCGCAAGCCUGAUCCAGCCAUACCGCGUGGGUGAAGAAGGCCUUCGGGUUGUAAAGCCCUUUUGUUGGGAAAGAAAAGCAGCAGGUUAAUACCCCGCUGUUCUGACGGUACCCAAAGAAUAAGCACCGGCUAACUUCGUG